CCGGCUUACAUGCUCUUACUCACCACCAUGCCUUUUUCCUAGCUGGGCUACCUUGGGAAAGUGGCUUCUCUUCUCUGAACUCCAGUUUCCUCAUCUCUAAAAUGGGGAUAACCAUAUCUAAUUCACUCAUUGUUAUGAGGUUUUAUUUUUCUUUGUUAUGAGGUUUUAAAGAACGUGCUUUGUAAACUCUAAAGUGCUGUGGAAAUGAAGGAAGUCAUUGUUAUUACCGGAAAGGUAGCAGCUCGGUAAAUACUUGUUGAAUGAAUAACUAACCGCUUGUGAAAUAUAAAAAAUUCUAGUAGUGCCCAGGUCUUGAUGUAAAUUAGCCAUGCAUCCUUGUUCUCAAUUUACAGAUCUCCCUGAGAAUUUGGAGCAAGAGAAUGGGAAUCAGGGGCCUUAUUCUUGGUGAAUGCAUAAACCAUUGCUUCUCUGGGUGCUGUGAAUGCAGUUCCAAUGUAAGGUAGGAAUAACAGUGUUUUGGGAAUAGUAAAAUAUAAUAGAGCCACUUAUUCAGUUGACAUGGGAGUGAAUUGGCAAUCACUUCAAGGAUUUAUACUUAUAAUUUAUAUUUGUUGUUUGUAUAGUUUUUAUAUUACUUAUAUCAAUAUAUUAUUUAAUUUCCCCAAACAUCCCAUGAGGUAGUUGUGAAUUUCCCCAUUUUCAGGUAAAGAAAAAUUGAGAUUUAGAGAAGUUUGACAGCUUGCCUCCAAUGCAAAAACUAAUAGUUUUGUGGAACCAAUGUUUGAAACAAGAUCUGUCUCAUUCCCAAAUCUGUACUUGUUCCUCUGUGCCAGACUUCUGUCUCAAAGUAUUGUCCUCCCUCUCACACCUUUCUUAUUCCUUUUUCAAAUUGUGCCCUCCAGAAUCUAUAUGACACCAAAAUUGAAUUCCUAGAACCCCAGGGACAACUACAAAACCAAAAAAUACAUUGAUUACCCAUCGGUAGCUCUCAAGAAAAAGAAAAAUUGUUUUGUAGUGUUUGCCAAUUUCCAUGGUGUAAAUAUUUCUAGCAUGUAAAUAAACCAGCAUGGCUGAUUUAAGCUACCAAUUUAUAUCACUGAAUGCAAAGUUAGAAAGAGAUAUACACAACCAGCUGUCACAAGCUAGCACAUGCUAGAUCCAGCACACCACCACCUUCAGCCAGGAUCUCAGCAUUCCACAAAGCACUUUGGGGCAAGAGGUGAUCACAGUCCCUGUUUUCAAAUUUGUUUGUUCAUUGUUUACAGUUUAUUUGGAAGACAAAAAUGCCUACUUAGUAGAACACUCAGUAACCUUUUUCUACAGUUUGUGCUAAAACUCAGCUGGAGAAAACGUAGAGGUAAACAGAUUAAAUCUAAAGCCAGUAGUAAUAUAAUCAUGUGCAACCCUUUGGGGAGGUAAUAGAGUAAUAAAUGCCAGGCUGUAAAGCUGUCCAUAAUUUGGACCAGUAAUCCCACCGUAGGUCUUUACCUACGCAACUAUUCCUAUUGAAGCAAAAACCAAGUGUCAGGAGUAUUCAUUGCAGUGUUAUCUACAAAAGUAAACAAAGAAAGAAAUAAAACACCUACUGACUGUCUCAAUAUCCAGCAAAAGGUAAUGGUUAAGUGUUAAAGCUUAAGUGUUUGCAGUAAACAGAAUAAUGGCCUCCCAAAGAUGUCCAUGCCCUGUUACAUGACAUGCAAAAGGGACUUAACCUUGCAGGUAUAAUUAAGGUUAGGAACCUUAAAAGAGAGAGAUUAUCCUGAAUUAUCUAGCUGGACUCAGGACUAUUAUAUGAGCCCUUAAAAGCAGAGAAUUUUCUCUGACUGAAGCAGACAAAUGUGGAUGAGGGGAAGUCGGAGAGAUUCCAAGUAUGAGAAGGAUUUGAUGCACCGUUGCUGCCUCUUGAGAUAUAGGAGCCUGCAGGCAAGAACCCAAGGAGGCCUCUAGGAGAUAAGGGCUGGCCGCAGCUGAAAACCAGCCAGGAUACAGUACCUCAGCCCUACCACAGUAAACAACUGAAUUCUGCUAAUAACCUGAAUAAACUUGGGACCAAAUUCUCCCCCAGAGCCUCCAGAUAAGAGCCCAGACCACUGACGUUGAUUCCAGCCUGUGAGGCCCAGACUUCUAACCUUGGAUCUGUGAGAUAAUAUAUUUAUAUUAUUUUAAGCUUCUAAAUUUGCAGCAGCAACAGAAAGAAACCUAAUACAGUGCUAUUCAUCUACGUGAGUAAUUAUAUUCAAAUUUUAAAAUGAUCAUUGUAAAGAUCUUGUAGUAACACAGAGAGCACUUUGUGAGAUGAUGAUAAAUGAUAAAACAAAGAUUGUUCCAUGAAUUCUUCAUAACCUCUCACAGUAAAAAUAUAUGCACAUGAAGUCCAGAACAAAAACACAAUAUGCAAAGAUAGAAGUUGGAGAGGGGUACUUCCUUCUUUAAGGGUCUAAGCAUCACUUCUCAGAAGAACUUGCAUGGGUCUCCUUGAUGAGAAGGUACUCACUUUUUCCAGCGAACUGGCAUUCCUCAAGGGACCAAGGUACUCGGGAGCUGCAGCUGAAUCUCUGACACCUUUUCUCCAACCACAGAGACAAUGAAGCCAAUGACAGAGUCUUCUCAAUGCUACAUUUUUCUGUGAUCUUUCCUUUCUUAAACCCCUGGCACAUGCUACCACCUGGCAAACACUCACAGGUGCUAAAAAAGUGUACAAGCACACGUGAAUAUGAAAGGAGAGCUUGGAAAAGGAUAAUUGUGUUACCUUUGGCAGUUAUUUUUUCAUUUGUGGUUGUGAUUUGUCUAUUGUCUACUGAUCAUAUUGUCAAGUCUGGAAUUUGUCCUCUGUUUGAGUUAAUAGAAUUAAGCACUUUUCCCAGGAAAAGAGCAUGAACCAGCAGCUUGUCUGCAAUCCUGGUUGCCAUACAAACACUGGUGAUCUCCCCGCCCCACCUGAGCUGCUUCAAGAAGGAAGAAGGGAAUGGCUCACCACAGGUACUGGGCUGCAGACCCACAGACGCUGUGGCUGCACAGAGGUAACCGCGACAUCAUUCACGCCACACCCGCAGCACGUGUGAGACAGACAUGGAGUGUGGUGACUGGAGAAAAACAUAAACUGACAAGGUUAUGAAAACACAGAGGAAAGUAUUUAUUAGCAUGUAGUAGAUUUUUUGCAUAUUGCUUUUUUUUUAAACGGAAGUAUAGCUGAUUUACAAUAUAAUAUUAUUUCAGGUGCACAACACAGUGAUUCAGUAUUUUUACAGAAGACAUACAGAUGGCUAACAGGCACAUGAAAAUAUGCUCAGCGUCGCUGAGUAUUAGAGAAAUGCAAAUCAAAGCAACAAAGAGGUAUCACCUCACACCUGUCUGAAUGGCUUUCAUCAAAAAACCUACAUGUAACAAAUGUUGGUGAGGGUGUAGAGAGAAGGGAACCCUUUUACAUAAUUGGUAGGAAUGUAAAUUGGUGCAGCCACUAUGGAAAACAGUAUGCAGGUUCCUUAAAAAACUAAAAAUAGAACUACCAUAUGAUCCAGCAGUCCCACUCCUGGGUAUACAUCUGGAUAAAAACAAAAACACUAAUUCAAAAAGAUUCAUGUACCCCAAUGUUCAUAGCAGCACUAUUUACAAUAGCCAAGACAUGGAAGCAACCUAAGUGCCCAUCAACAGACGAAUGGAUAAAAAAAUGUGAUAUAUAUAUAUAUAUAUAUAUACAUACAAGAGAAUAUUACUGAGCCAUAAAAAAGGAUGAACUUCUGCCUUUUGCAGCAAUGUGGAUGGACCUAGAGAGCAUUAUGCUCAGUGGAACAAGCCAGACAGAGAAAGGCAAAUACUACAUGAUAUCACUUAUUUGUAGUAGGCAUUUUUCAGAGUAAUUGGAGAAAACAAAUCUCAGGAAUACUAUUGAUAACUGAUCUAGUAUUUAGAGUGAUCUGUGAGCGGAUGAACAAACUGCCAAGUUUCAAAGCUAAUAAUAACUGUCCUAACACAAAAGGACUGUAGACUCCAGGUGUAAUGGUGAGGUCCACAGAGAAAGGUCAACCAACUUUGUACGAUGGAGAAGGAAAACUCACACACAACCUGUGUAAACGCCAAACACCUGGGCUUACCCGGCUGAGACUUUAUCAAUCCCUAACUGAGGAGGCAUUUGGAAGAAGAUAUUUGAACCCCAUUUUUGAAAUGUAUUGAACACUAUGCACACAUGUACGUUGUGGAAUUGAGGAAGCGCGCUGCAGGGCCUAAGCGCGUGGAGGCUGGUGCCGACUUCCUGGGCCCAAAUCCUGCCUCUGCCACUUACAAGCUGGGUGACCUCAAACUCUCUGUUCCUCAGUUUCCUCAUCUUGUAAGAGGAGGGCGCUGAUAGUAUAUAUCUCACAGAGAUGUUUUGAAUAUUAAAUGAGUCAAGAUUCAUAAAACGCUAAGGAAUGGUCUUGGCACAUGGCAAAUGCGAUAUAGUUGUUUGUCAUAAAGGAACAGAUUUCAUUUUCA